GUCCAGGUUCCCAUCUUUCUACUCUGCUCUCCUCAUUGCAUGGUUUUUAUUCUCAAGUUAUUUCAUUUUCAUUGUCCAAAGUGGCUUUUGGAAGCAGUGGGUGAAGGGCAACCAAAGGAAAUUUCCCCAGCUGAGUCAGUGUCCUGGAUUCGGUUUUCUCAGAGAACCACACAGAGUUUGAAUUUACAUCUCAUUGGCCAGAGCUGUGUCACAUUGCCAUCUAGCUGCUAGGGAAGCUGAGAAGUCCAGUGUAAGUGAGACUAGCUAAAAAUCAGGAUUUUUUAACUAGGGAAAAAUUUCAUUUCAGAAGGGAAGGGGGAAUGUUUGAUGGGCAACUACAGCUCUGAACACUUAAUCAGCCUUUUGGUGACCUAAACAUCUGUGUGCAUUCUUCUGAAACAGAGAACUCUCACAUCCCCCACCACAAAAGGAAACCACCAAAAUCGAAUCCAUUAAUAACUGUAACACAAGCCUAUGAUAUCUGAGUAUAGUCCCCUUUAUGAGGAUAGAAUGUGGUUUCUUACAUUCCCACCACGUGCAAACUAAAAAGCAGUGUGUCUGCCCCCUGAGCACCGUAUGCAUAAUAAAAUAGGUACAGGGUAACUGCAGUAAAAUCAACCUUUUAGAAAAGAGGAAAACAGGAAACAUAGCAGUCAUAUAUCCAUGGAAAUUAAAAAAAAUACUCUGUGGCAAAAAUAGCAAGGUGCUAAUAGCUCUCUGCUCUAUCCAUAAAUACAUUCUUUGGUUUUUCUAUCAGGCAACCCCUGCUUCACCUUUCUGGGAGGAACUCCCUCGUCUUAUGUCCUCAGGGGCCCUUGGCAUUGCCCUCUGGGAUGUUUUUAUUGCCCACUAACCUUCAAGGACACAAGUGGCCUUUGAAAAGUGUCCCCUUCCUGAAGAGUGGACAGCUUUCACACUUUUUUUCCUGUUAUUAUGGGUUUAGGGCCUUGGGAAUUGUUUUAGAAAGUUACAAGCUAUUUCAGCUUGGGCUUAGGGUUUUUAUUUGUUUUUUGUUUUCUUCUGCUUUUUGGAAAAACAGUUCCCUAAAAACUUAGUAGGUCUCUGGUCUGUUUUCUUCAAUUAUUACCAUGAGAAAGCACAAAGAUCUUAUGAAGAUUGCUUUUAGCAAAGAACCUCAUCUUUUACUUGCUGGCCUCUGUGUUCUUGCUCUCCCUUUGGGUCUUAAAUGAGUGGGACCUACUUAGUAUUGUUUUGAACUGUAGGCUGGGAUGGGAUAACAACAGUCUUACUCUGAUCUUUUUCUUUAGGAUGGUUCCCAUUACUUGGCAGAAAAUUCUUAAGGGAAGGUUCUUGGAAAGGUUGUGAAAGCUUUAGCAACUUCCUCAGAACCUUUAUUUAUAAUUGUUUCAGUCUGGAGUAUGGUAGUACAGUAGUUGCCUUUUUUAGUUCUUCAGGGCUCCAGAUUUGGGACUUUAUCAAUUUAUUUGGUAGAUAGAGAGCAGUUCUCUCAGCAAAGCUACAUUCCCUUCCAUCUCUCUAGACCUGACCAUCCUUAGCCUAAGUCACAUCUGUCUUGUUGGACUUUGCUGAAAGAGGGAAGGCAGAGCCUACACGUGCUAGCAUUCUGAAAUUCUAUUACCAUUUUCUCUGAUACCUUAUCCUGAGUUUGCAUGAGAUAUCACUGCCCCAAACCUGACCUCCUCAACUAAGCAAGUUCCAUUCUUAUUAUCUCUUUACUUGCUAUACCUUACUUCUAGUUACCAAAUUCUGUAUAGGUUAAGAUUCUUCGUUGCAGCUCAUUGAAUCCUCUUCAGCUGUCAAACAGAAUGGAAUUAAUGUGGGAGGGGUGUAUAGAUAGCUCACAGCAUCUUUGGGAGGGCUGAAAGAAUGGAACUUAGGCUGAGUUUCUAGGAACUGCAUCACAAGACUAGGCUGCCGAAGAAGCUGCUGCUUUGGGAAUAAUUGAGAAGCUGUCUGCUAAAUCAGGAAGCCACCCACUGGAUUAGGAAGCCAUGAAGUUGCCAGCUCCAGACACCACCAUUGACACACUUUAGAUCAGCACAAGUGGAUACUUCAUGUCCUGCUUCUCUUCUUUCCCCAUGGAACUCAGCUCUGAGUAAAAGUUUCAACUGUAAAGUAAAUAAAGAAGAAAUUGAAAAAGAGGCAGUUAGAUGAUGACUUUUAUAAUUUUCAUGCAAGAUUUGUGUCUCCUGAAAAAGCUGCUAGAGAAGAUCAUCUUUACCCUUAACCAAGUACGUCAACUUGAUACUUUAAUGCAUUUGUUUUGUUGGAAUUGAGAGACUAAGGUGUAUUCCGUAAAAUGCAGAGUUCCUGUGGAUGAUAAAAUGGAAGACUGUAAUGACAGCUUGUUUUCAAGGUAUGAGAUUUGAAGGAAAUCAGAUCUUUUCUUUGCUUUUUUUUUUUCUUUAACACGAUAUCAUUAGCAGGACUUCAGUCUUUCCAUACUGUUUUAAUUAAUCAAUUAGUUAAUGAAAAUGCAACAACUUAGAUCUAAUAAAUGGCAAUUUUUCCCAGCUUUUAGUUUUUAAAAUUUUAUGUUGAACUAUAGUUGAUUUAUAGUAUUGUGUUAGUUUCAAGUAUAUAGCAAACUGAUUUUUAUAUAUAUAUACACAUAUGCUUUUUCCGAUUCUUUUUCAUUAUAGGUUUUCACAAGAUAUUGAAUGUAAUUCCCUGUGGUAUACAGUAAAUCCUUGUUGUUUAUCUGUUUUAUAUAUAGUGUUAUGUAUCUGUUAAUCCCAUAUUCCUGAUUUAUCCCUUCAUUCCUCUAUUCCCCUUUGAUAACCAUGUUUGUUUUCUAUGUCUGUGAGUCUGUUUCUGUUUUGUGAAUAAGUUUAUUUGUAUUCUUUUUUAGAUUCCACGUAUGAGUUAUAUAUUUAUCUUUCUCUGAUUUAUUUCACUUAGUAUGAUAAUCUCUUGGUUCAUCCAUGUUGCUGCCAAUGGCAAUAUUUCAUUCUUUUUUAUGACUAAUACUCCAUUCCAUUCCAUAUGCCACAUCUUUGUUAUCCAUUCAUUUGUUAAUGGACACUUAGAUUGCUUGGCCAUUAUAAA
rnacentral:lncRNA from 1 species